CGAGUCCGCGUGAUCCGCAGGCUGGUGGGAAAAGCAAGAGCUUGGGGAGGGGGCUCCUGCCUCGAGAUACCGCUGCUGUUUUUGUCCUGGUGUCGUGGCUGUGGAUCAGUCCCGCUCAGCUCUCCCUGGAGCAGCUCGGUUGGAGAAGGAAGCGUGAGGAGGCCGCAAAGUGGUGCUGCAUGAAACUCUCUGGAGAUGGGAUGAGCCGCCGAGGAAGUCAUGUGAGCGAAGGAAGCAGAGGCCAGCGAGAGGUCUUGGCAGACGGAGAGGUGAAGCGGGGAUAUCUGGUGAGAAAAGGAUUUAUGCAAGAGGCACAGCAGAGAGCGGGAAGGGAGGAAGUCCGGACUGCUUGGGAGGCAGCUUCUCCAACCCCCAGCGUUAGUACGCUCACGCUGCAGCUAUCCCUGGAAGCAGUUCCAGAUGUCGACUUUCACUAG
rnacentral:lncRNA from 1 species